UGAACGCUAGCGGGAGCUUUACACAUGCCAGUCGAACGGCAGCAUGAGAGAGCUUGCUCUCUUGAUGGCGAGUGGCGGACGGGUGAGUAAUGUAUCGGAACGUGCCCGGUAGUGGGGGAUAACUACGCGAAAGCGUAGCUAAUACCGCAUAUUCUCUACGGAGGAAAGAGGGGGAUCGUAAGACCUCUUGCUACCGGAGCGGCCGAUAUCAGAUUAGCUAGUUGGUGGGGUAACGGCCUACCAAGGCGGUGAUCUGUAGCUGGUUUGAGAGGACGACCAGCCACACUGGGACUGAGACACGGCCCAGACUCCUACGGGAGGCAGCAGUGGGGAAUUUUCGACAAUGGGGGGAACCCUGAUCGAGCCAUCUCGCGUGUGGGACGAAGGCCUUCGGGUUGUAAACCACUUUUCUCAACGAAGAAAAGUCUUAGGCUAAUACCUUAAGAUGCUGACGGUAGUUGAGGAAUAAGCACCGGCUAACUACGUGCCAGCAGCCGCGGUAAUACGUAGGGUGCGAGCGUUAAUCGGAAUUACUGGGCGUAAAGGGUGCGCAGGCGGCUUGGAAAGAACGGUGUGAAAUCCCGGGGCUCAACCUCGGAACUGCACUAUUAACUGCCAAGCUAGAGUACCUC
rnacentral:rRNA from 1 species